rnacentral:lncRNA from 1 species
CCACAACCUCCGGGUCCCACUCGUCAGACAUAUCCACAACCUCCGCGGCAGCGAAGCAGCGCCGCUAUCGCCGCCCUCCUCGGCCGCCGCUGUCGCGCGGGCCGUGCACCGAUCGAGCACGGCGAUUUGCCGUGCCCGGAGACCGCAAAAGCAGAGGCUGAGGACAAUCCUUCAAGCUCUUGAGGCGAGCUUGGAAUGGAGUCCCACGCCACACCGCCGAUUUCCCUCACCGGUGAGCCCCGUCCGAUCCCAUUCGCGUCACAGUGCGACACUGAAUUCUAUCUGAUAUUUGCCUCGCUUAAUUUCUAGCUUUCGGCACCGGAGAUCGAGAUGGCCGUCUUCUCCACCAACUCCGGUUGAAACUGCGGCUCCCGCCGUCCUGCCUGCUCGGCUUCCUAUGCUGGUGAGUUUAUGGGAUACCGUGGUCGAAGAUGACCGCGCUGUUUUGGCAGUUGCAUUGCCUACACGGCUUAACCUUCAUGACCGCGCCAUGCCGCCAUGGCUAUCAUUACGCCGGCCAUUUCCAGUAUCCUGUAAGGAUGUAGAUUAUGCAGCACCCUGCUAGGUGUUACACAAGGCUAAGCUCUUUCAAAAGAAGAAGGACGUCAAUAAGUCCCGAACGUUCAGGAUUUGAUCAUGACAAAUCGAACAUCUUUGUGGCAAUUUAUAUUUGUUGACCAUGACCCUCGUCAACUAAAAUUGCCAUAACAAACGUUCGAUUUGCCAUGGUCACAUCCCGAACUUUUGGGAUUUAUCAUUUCUGAAAAAGAAAAAAACAACGCUAAGAUAAGCUUCCAAGUUGGAUCUUAAAAGCUAGAAAUUCCAUGUUAAGUAGAGAAAAACUGAAAUAUCUAUGACACCUAUUUCGAUGUGGCUCCAGAUUAUAAUGAUGCAGUGAGGGUACAUCAAGAUAUAUAGUUACAAAUUUAUAUAGAACACAGCUGUUUCUUCAAUCACAAACAUUACAAUUGUAUAGUAAAUACUACUUCAGUCUUAAGACAGACAUAUAUUAUGAUGUCUAGACACACAAUGCAGCUCGUUUUCCUGAAACAAAAAAGGAGGAUGUUGAAUGUGAGCUUUCAGCGGUUCAGCCAUAGCUUGGAGCAGUCUUGGUAUCGGAGGCAAUGUGAUCUCAACUAGCCCUUCGAGAAUUUGGACCACCUGUCCCAUUGUUGGCCGAUCAAGCUCAUUGUCUUGAAGGCACCAACAUGUAACCUUGCAAGCAAUUUCAAGCUUGUUUAGAUUGGCAAUACCAUGUAGCUUGUGAUCUACCAAACUCCCGACGUCUCCUUCAAGAAGCUUAUGUGCGGCAUGCACAGGGAAGUAAACAUCAGUGUUGCCACCGCUAGGACCUGUCGGACAUGAGUUCCUCCUUCCAGAUAUUAUUUCCAACAACACCAUCCCGUAGCUAAAAACAUUGACUUUUGGUGUAAUAGGAACACCGGUAAGCCAUUCAGGCGCAAGGUAUCCUGUAGUUCCUCUCAUUGUUGUCAAUACUCUGCUAUAAUCCCUUCCUAAAAGCUUUGCCAUCCCAAAGUCUGCAAUUUUUGGAAGGAGUGAAGCAUCAAGAAGUAUGUUUUCUGGCUUGAUAUCACAGUGUAUGACGCGGUCUCGACAACUGUCAUGCAAGUAGGCCAACCCUCUUGCAACACGUAUACCAAAAUAUAUUUUUGUACAAAGGUAGUAACAAUAAAAUGCUGACUGAAAGUUCAGGAAAGUGACCGAAACUUAACAAAAGUAACUGACUGAAACUUAACAAAAAGAAAUACUGAAACACAAUUGGACACGUAAAAAAGACUGAAACUUCAAAUGCUUAAAAAUAAGGAGAGUCUAGUUAAUACAAUUCUGCUGCUUUCAUCCGUAAAUAAAAGAAGAGAUUGUGCUGCUUUAAAUUCAUCCGUCAACCAUCAUCUACCGGAUAGUUAACUAGCACUGAUUUUCACCAAUAUUCAGUUGGUGAAGGCACUUGUGUUGCACUUAUGCACCUCUCCCUCACCCCUCGUUCAUAAAUAAUCGGCACUUCUACUUCUACAUAGUUCAUAAGAAGAAGAAAAACUCGUCAAAAAAAUAAUAAGAAGAAAAGUGGUCUAUGUUGCUAGUUGUGCAAGGUUUAACAUGUCGAGAACGAAAGAAUAGAUGGGAAUAGGAGGUAGCAGGAAACUUAAUUUGUGGCCAACAAGAAGAUUGUUAGAUCCUACCAGAGAACGUUGUCUCAACAGUAAUCAACACAGGAGAAAGGUGCAGGAUCUGUGUAGUGUGACCUGCAGAUCUGCAGCGAACACCUACAUCUGGUGGAGGUGCUAUUGACUCUCAGAAGCAUCCUCCCUGGUGUGUCGCCUACACUGGUCGCUUUAAGGAUGUUUGAGUAUGCCCCGUUUUUCUGUCAACUCUGCGAUCUUCUGGUUAAAAAUUCACGACACAGGCAAUACAAAGUUGAUGAUUGUAUUUCUAGCAUCUAUAAAACAUUGUUCUGGAUUGGAUGGCAUUGUGUUAUUUUGAGUUUGGGUGGGCAGGCAGAAACAUUUUUCAUGAGACAACAGUUCAAAGAUUCUGAUUUUGCCGGAUAUUUUUGGGAUGAGUGUCUUAACUUUCUAUAUGAUCAGUUGUGUGCGUCACUAAUUAAACAAAAUCAGAGUCUUGGUGCAGAAUGGUGUGGAGCUCUUUGAUCUACAACAAAAAUCAUCUCAAAGAUGUUAACAGACAGACUGCAAAAGUUGAUCGCGGAGCUUAUUGAUGUUAUCUUGUCCAACUUUAUUAAGGGGCGUUCGAUUGCGAAAGAGUUAUCGUUGCCUCGGAGCUUGUACAGUCAGCUGUCAAGAGGAAAUUGCCGUUGAUUGUUUUGAAGUUGGAUUUUCAAAAAGCCUUUGAUACAUUUCUUUGGGACUGCCUGCUUGAAAUCUUUCGUCACCGAAGUUUUCCUGAUGGCUGGAUUAAAUGGACCCAAACCAUGCUCCGAUCUGGCCAGGCUCAGGUUCUUAUCAGUGGCACCACUUGGUUGGGGGAAGCCAUUUCUUUUUUGAAAGACCCAGCAUUGCUGGCUUCAUUGAUUUAGCAGGAAGGAGAGUACAAAGGUUGAUCGGAUCGAUCAAGAAUAGAAAAUAAGAAGAGACGGUCAAGCGACCGUCAUCUUAUGCAGGAAACACUGAAAUCAAUCUUCUCCCAACAUUUCCCCGAACGGGGCCUCUAAUUUCUUUGCUCCUGCCAAUCUCCAUUGUUCUAAGUUACUACUGAUCUUUGCACAUAUCCGCUGAUGACUUGGAGUCGCCCCCCUGAAGGUGCAUUCAUUCCUCUCGUUCCAGAUCUCCCACAGAACCAUAAUGAUCAUUGAUCUGAUUGCUCUUCUGUUAUGUGGUGAAGUCUGGUUGAUGGCCUGCUGGCAUAUUUGAGCUGAUGAGGUGAGGCCCCCGGUCAAUGAUGAUAGAGAGGAGCAUCCAGAACGCCUUGCCGUGAGCAGCCAAAUUUCCCGCGCGAAACUGCAAUCCCAAAACAAAUGUGUGGACGUUUCCAGAUUGCGAAGGCACAAUUGGCAGAAGUAAUUGUUCGGCCAACCCCUCCUCUGAAGUCGAUCGUUGCACCAAAGCCUGUCCUGGAGAAGUAGCCACAUGAACAUCUUGUGCUUGUUUGGAGCCCAGACCUUCCAGAUUAGGUUGUUGAACAUGGGCUGACCCGGGGCCUGAAACUGCAUGUUGUAUGCUGAAUUUGCAGAGUAGCAGCCAUUGCUGGUGUGCCUCCAUCGUAUGCGGUCGUCCUCUUGUGGGCACAGCACCGUGUUUUCGGCCUGUAACAUACGCCACAUGGACAGAAAAUCGGGUGCAAUGGCCAUGGUGUCACCAUGUUGCAAAUCUUUGAUCCACUGAUCAUUCCGGAGGGAUGCUUCAACGCUUCUACUUUUUCUGCGGGCGUGAUUGUAGACUGUUGGGUAUGAGAUUGCCAGCGGGUAGUCGCCAAUCCAGUUGUCUUUCCAGAAGCCUGCUUUGCGGCCGUUCCCGAUCUGAACUUUUGUUGCCAAACUGAAAAUCUCUCGGUCCUUCUCCGACACCGAGGGCUUUAGCUACACCCACGGCCUUGUUGGUUGAUCCCAUGUUAGCCACUGCCAUCUGAGGCGAAGGGCAAUGCUGAACUUGUUUAGGUCUAGGAUGCCCAACCCUCCUAUACGCACCGGGGAGCAAACCUUCGACCAGGCCACCUUGCACUUACCCCCGGCGAGCUGGUCAUCCUGGCACCAUAGGAAUCGCCUUCGGGCCUUGUCCAUCUCUCGAAUGAUCUUCUCUGGCACUUUUAGAACAGUCAUGGCAAAGGUUGGCAGGGCGGAGAGGACGCUACGUACCAGAACCCUCCUACCUGCCAAGUUGAGCAGUUUUCCUUUCCAACCCGCCAGCCGCGCUUUAAUUCUGUCAAUCAAGAACUGGAAGUGGCUUAGCCUCAGCCUGGCCGUCGAGAUCGGCAAGCCGAGGUAAGUCAGGGGGAAGCCAAUCAGAGUGCCGCCGAAACCCUGUAGCACAUCCGACAAAUCGAUGUCUUCGCACCUAAUGGCUGCCACUGAAGAUUUACUUUGGUUGAGUUGCAGCCCUGUUGCUUCUCCGAAUUUCGUCAGCAGAUCAAGAAGCGUAUCCACCUCCGUCUUGGAUGGAUUGGCGAAUAUGACCGCGUUGUCUGCGUAAAGGCAGACCCUCAUGCUCGCACCCCGACCCGGCAACUGGGUCAGCGUCCCUCCUUCGGAAGCCGCUGCUAGCAGGCGGUGAAGUGGAUCAAUGGCGAUGAUGAAAAGGAGCGGGGAGAAAGGAUCUCCCUGACGCAGGCCUUGUCGGUGCCAGAACUUCUCACCCGGUUCGCCGUUCAUCAGGAUGGAGGAGGCGGAGGAUAACAGCAUGGCGAUCAAGUCCCUCCAUCGUGGGCUAAAAAACCCAUUCUCUGAAGCAGUUCCAGUAGGUAUUCCCACGACACUGAAUCGAAGGCCUUGGCAAUGUCCAAUUUGAAAAGAAGGGCCGAUUUCCUGUCCCUGUGAAGCGCUCUAACACAGCCCUGCACAUACUGAUAGCUAUCAUGGAUGCACUUGCCCUUUUGGAAAGCAGAUUGCGUCGGUGAGAUGAGGUCCUUGAGUUUUGGGGCCAGCCGCAUAGAUAGAACCUUAGCUAUCAGCUUUGACACGGAGUGUAUGAGGCUGAUAGGCCUGAAGUGGCUCAUCUCCGUUGCUCCAUCCUUUUUAGGCAGCAGUGCUAUGAGUGUCGUGGUAACGAUUCCGAUAAUAAGAGAGGGGUAGGAUAAAGGAGCAUGAUCUAUCGAGAUGCAUAUGGGUGACACGGUGGUUUUAGCGAGUUCGGGCCUCCCACAGUGGAGAUAACAACCCUACGUCUCGUGCUCCGGAGAGGCUUUGUUUUAUCUUAGUAUGUAUCCGAAGAUUACAAUGAGAGAGGAACGGAUCCCCGUAGUCCUGAGACUAAUGGUGAAAGAGAGAGAGAGAGAGAGAUGGAAAAAGAGAGCCCCCUCGUCUAGUGGUGGGGGGUGGCUUAUAUAGAAUGCGCCACCCCUCACCUCCUAUGUUACAAAGUGGGGCAUGAAUGCCAUAAUACCAGCCCACUACCAAGCCCUCACUAUGAGAAUGAUGCCGACUGCUUUGCUGUCUGCUGGUCUUCAUAUAUCCGAGUGAGUCGUACGGUCGAGUGGAUGGUAUUCUGCUUGGUCGAGUGGAUAGUAUGCUGCUUGUCCGAGUGGAUAGUAUGCCUGUAUAAAAUUUAUCUGGACCCACAUGUUGUGUGGACCCCAUGCUUUAUGAUAUUUCAACCAUUCGUGGGCCUACCUAUUAUGUGUAUCCCCAACAAUGAGCGCUCUGUUUAGAUCGUCGAAGUUUGCUCCUGCUAGAUCAUAGAAUUUCUAGAAAACUGCCAUAAUGUCAUGCUUGAUGGUGUUCCAACAAGCCCUGAAGAAACGCCCGGUGAAGCCGUCUGGUCCAGGCGCUUUUUCCGCCGGUGAGGCCUGAAUUGCCGCCCAUACCUCAUGUUUGGUGAAAGGUAGAUCGAGGCCCGUCAUGUCGACUACCGGCAAGUGCAGUUCGUCCCAGUUUAGGGUGCAGUUGCGCUGCCGGCUCCUUCCCAAAAUCUCUGUAAAGUGAUCGCACGCGGCCAAUGCCUUCUCCUGUUGUUCAGUAAUGACAGUGUUGCCCACCCUGAUCGAAUGAAUGUAGUUCUUCCUCCUUCUUGCUCUGAUUUUUGCGUGGAAAAACUUUGAGUUUGCGUCGCCAGCCCCGAGCCACAUGAUCCUGGAUGCUUGUCGCUUUUUGGCUCUCUCGAUUGCGGCCAGUCCAAUCACCUUGAGUUUAAGUUGUUUGCGUAGCACACGCUCCGGCUCCGUCAGAUGUCUGGUCUCUUGCGCUAUGUCCAACUGUAAUAUCACCGUGUUUGCGAUGUGGAACUGCAUCUUGGCGCCUCCAAAGAGCGAUCUGCUCCGGAUUUUCAGGUCAGCCCCUGUCCUCUGUAGUUUCCUGCCGAUGCGUAUGAACGGGCAGUCGUGGUUGACUGGCCGAUCCCAGGCGUGCUGCACUGUCUCAUGGAAGUGUGGGAAUUGCGGCCAAAAGCUUUCAAACCUGAACCUUGCUUUCCUAACUGGCGGCGCACCGUUGGCUAACAGCAGGGGGCAGUGAUCGGAGAAGGACGUGGAAGCCGUUGUAAGCAACACGUCGGGGAACAUGUCUUCCCAUGCCAAGUUGCAAAAGACCUUGUCAAUGCUGCAUAAAGUAGGCUCGUCUCGCUCAUUACUCCAAGUGAAUCGCCUGUUCUUGCACUUGACCUCUCUGACCCCUGCGUAGUGGAUUGCCCGGCGAAAACGGCCCAUCAUCCUUCUAUUGAUCAGUCCAUUGCUUUUGUCGCUCGCCUGGUAAAUCAUGUUGAAGUCGCCAUUAAGCAUCCAAGGUUCAGACGGGGAAGGGGCCGCGCUGGCAAGUUCAGAAAGGAAGUUUUCUUUCUGAUCGUCCUCUGUUGGCCCGUAGACGGUUGUCAUCCAAAAGAAAUCGCAGCUGCCGACGAACUGGACCCUAACCGUGAUGGAGAAAAUAGCGAUCAUGUGCGAGACUAUGUCAACCACCUGCUUAUCCCAAAAAAUUGCGGCACCGCCUCUAGUGCCUGUCGCGGGCAGCACCACACAGCCCUGAAGUGAAGGCCCCCCUACUUCUACUGCUAGUUGUGAAGACCAGGAUUCGAUCUUUGUUUCCUGUAGAUUUAGGAUCGUGAUUUUGUUAGCGUGAGCCACUUCGCUGACGGCCGAACGCUUUGCAAGGGAGUUUAGGCCCCGCACGUUCCAGGACAUGAUUCUGAAGUUCGUAUCAAUCAUGGGGACAGGGGAUUUCUCUUCGUCGACUAACAUAGCUACUGAAGGUAAAAACGAGCACACAAGCCUUACAAUCCUGCUGGGAACGACACCAGCCACCAAUAGACCCCAAACUUCGGCGUCGCCUAACUACUCCUACCUUACACUGGGCACGACACAUUGGAAUAAAACCUAACUCAAACUGGUUUAAGACCAGCCGUCGACGAAGACUACGAUGAAGAACUAGCAUGAUCACAGCACUGAUGCAUCCUCGCCGCUCGCUCCAGCCAUGCCCGCAGCAAUCUUCAGAGCUUCGCAGUCCAGGCCUGUGAGCUUGGCAAUGGUAGCGAUGUCUUUUAUAGAGAGGGGCUCCUGGAAACGCCUAAGGAGAUCAGCAGCAGCCUUUGGUGUCAUCUUGUCUUUAGGCCCAAGCCCGCCAAGCUCCUGGACGAGGCGCAUCGCCGCCCUCUGCGCCACCGGGACGGGGGAGGCCGCUGCUGCCUGCCUAGCACUGCGGCACGUUGGGACCGAGGUGGCCCGCACCUUGGGUGGAGCAGAGGGCCGUGGCCGCACCGGAGGGCUGGGCAGCACUGCCUGGGGCACCGGAGCGAAGAGCUCCAGCGCACCACAGUUGUCGCCGUCCGUUGGCCCCGGAGGGCCGUGGGCAGGCGCUCCUCCAAGCUGCAGGCUGUCGACCUUGUGGGUGAUCGCUUCGACGUGGAAUCCCACCGCGGCCGCUGCCGGCGAGCAGACGCAGGGGCUGGAUAGCGGGACCGAAAGGUCGGCGAUGCACGGAAGGAUGUCGUCGUCUUCGUGGAACUCCUCCAUCACACCAGAGCGCGUGCGAGCAUGCGGGGGUGAGUGUCCACCAUCUUCAAAGGCCAGCGGGGAGUUGAGGGCGUCGAUCAUGGCGUUCUCGAUCUCAAGCUGCAUGANNNNNNNNNNNNNNNNNNNNNNNNNNNNNNNNNNNNNNNNNNNNNNNNNNNNNNNNNNNNNNNNNNNNNNNNNNNNNNNNNNNNNNNNNNNNNNNNNNNNNNNNNNNNNNNNNNNNNNNNNNNNNNNNNNNNNNNNNNNNNNNNNNNNNNNNNNNNNNNNNNNNNNNNNNNNNNNNNNNNNNNNNNNNNNNNNNNNNNNNNNNNNNNNNNNNNNNNNNNNNNNNNNNNNNNNNNNNNNNNNNNNNNNNNNNNNNNNNNNNNNNNNNNNNNNNNNNNNNNNNNNNNNNNNNNNNNNNNNNNNNNNNNNNNNNNNNNNNNNNNNNNNNNNNNNNNNNNNNNNNNCCAGGGAAGGAAAAGAAGGCGGCCACGGGGUCCGUCUCCAGGGCUUCUCCGCGCGUGGCCACCGGCUUCUGGAGGAGGGGAAGCGGCGGGGUGGCCCGAAGCGGCGUCGCCACAGUCGCCGCCUUGCUUUUGGCGUGUCCCCCCUCCUGAUCGCCGUGCCUCCUGCCCGCCGGAGUCCUGCUGCGCCGCCUUGGUGCCGCCUCGAUGACGUCAGUGGAUUUGCCCCUGGCAUGGCAAGAGGUGCCCAGGAGCGUGUCACGCCACGAGCGUCGCUGCUCGCCGGAGUCAUCGUCGUCGUGGUUGCGCCGGAUCGGCCGAGGAGCCAACCGGCAAGCAGCGGUGGCCAGCCAAGCCUCUGGGCGGCGAGCUUGCGCCUGGCCAUCUUCGACACCACCCGUCCAGGAGCCGGGCUCGACGACGCGGGGGUAGGGGCGGUUGUCGUCGUCAUCGGAGGAGGGGAUCCCACUCUGGCCCGAGUGCGAAGAGCGAGGCGAGAGCGGGGUCCAGUCUUCAACUCGGUCUACGUGUAUCAGCAGAUCAUAGCGGCGCACGCCCGGCGGUGGGGGGACGCGGCGGUCCGGCGGGGAGUAGCCAUUUCUUUUGAGUUGGGAGUUCGGCAGGUUGAUUCUCUUUCCCCAUGUCUUUUCAUUUUGGCUGCCGAUGUCUUGCAGUGUAUGUGUGCCAGAGAGUUCAACAAUGGCUAGCUAAUCCACCAGUUGGAAAGACACGGCCCGUUCCCGGUGCUGAAAUGUGCAGAUGGCACGCUGCUACUUCUUCAUGGCACCACUGACCAAGCACAUAUGAUCAAGCACAUCUUAAUAACAGGCUUCCCGGACUUCUCGGAACUGGAAAUUAAUUGUCACAAAGCAUGCUCGUUUCAAUCAAAUAUUAAAAACAUGACGGCGGAUGAGAUCGUGGACAUUUUGGGUUGCCCUAUAAGCUCUCUGCCAUGCACCUACCUCGGAGUUCCGAUCUCCACUAACAAAAUUCCACAACAUUUGCUCCGACCCAUCAUCCAAAAUAUUGACAGGGUAUUACCAGGAUGGAUGACGAACCUUCUCUCAUGUGGUGGCCGGCUACAGAUGGUUGAUGCCGUUUUACCAGCGAUCGCUGAAUAUUUCAUAUCCUGCAUGAUGCUGUCUGAAGAGAGUGUCGAAAAAAUUGACAAGCUGUGUCGGUCGGUCCUCUGGAAAAAUUCUAAUGGGAGUCAUUGCCUUGUGGCAUGCGAUUAUAUGAUCUUACCCAAUGAGAGUGGCGGUUUGGGCGUCCGCAAUCUAGUGGCACACAACUCUGCAAUGUUGUGCAAGCUAAUGAACCUCGUUUUGCAGGGCAGCAGUAUUCCAUGUUGGGAUUGGCUUCAAGCUUCAUGCGAUCGCCCUUUCAACCCUGCUAAGCAUAAACUGGAUACUGUUGCUUGGGAGGACUCUCAAGUUAGUGAUUCUGGUGGUCAUGGAUGCCACGCAUUGUGCACCAGUUGACGGCUCUAACAUAUCAUUCUGCCUCCACUGUUUGUAUUCUGCUGAUCUGCUCUUCUCAUUCGCCAUAGACAAAUGCAGCUCAUUGAAAUCUCAGUUUGCUAACAACUCCUGGCCCAUUAUUAAGCUUAAGCCAGUACUUCGCAACAAUGGAUGGUUGUGUGCAUCUUGCAAUUAUACAUACAUACAUACAUACAUACUCCCCUGAACCUAUUUUUAAUCUGUUCUUGUGUAGGCUUCAUGCAUACAUACUCGCAUUGUCCUCCUUUUGUCCCCACCCUCCCUUUUCGAGAAAGUCUGUGUUUCAGAGAGAGAGAAGGGCGAGAGAAGUAGGUUCUGAUACGGCCAUGGUACCAGUGACUGAUGAUACUAUUCAAGCUGAGCUAGUUACAGAAUUAAGCCAUGAAAAAGUUACAGCAAAUAAUGAAGUGCAUGCAUCCAUAUUUCAUCAAGGAAAGGAUGGUAACUUGCGUCAGUUGUGUGGACCGAGAGUUAAUUCUAUAAUUAACAGACCAAAGACCAAUGACGCGGUGCAUGCAUUAGAUUCAAGAGAUGUUCUGCACGGUCCUGCACACAUAAUACAACCAGAUUUGGACUAUAAAAAAAUGGGACGCUGGGGAGGAUUAACAUGGCCCAACAAGUCAAGAGAUCAAGGUAGCUUCCAGAACAAAAUUCAAAGGAAAUUGUAUCAUUCUAUUCGGCCGCAUUACAGAAAAAUAUCGGAGAUUAAUAAGGAGCCAACACUACCUUUGGUCGAGCCCAAUUUCCAUACGCCUCCAAGUUGGCUUUCUCGACGGCGCGUAUGUACGUGACAUGCUGAUUCACAUGCGUGCACAGUUAAUUAAGUUAUUAUAAUAUUAUAGGUAGGUUCACGUUGUUUGGCUUGUUAGGAUUCUUUCCAUUUUAAAUAUUUCCUUAUCCCUAGUUUACUUGGGAAUCACGUGAGACUUGGUUUAGGCGAGGUCUGUUUGAUGUUAAAAGGCAUGGCUUCGGCCAGGUAGAGAUUUGAGUUUUUGGGAGUUUAUUUGCGAGACAGGAAUAACACAGUAAAACGUCCAGGUUUUGGGCGGCUAUAUCUUGUAUAUCAUCUGAGAUUUUCCCAUCGUGGAAAUUUUCUAGCGACGGAGGGUUGAUCAUCAAUAUCGCCGCCUACGUGUUGAUCCGAGGGGAUCAUUAUUUUUGUUCGUGUAUUUUUGUACACGGGUGAAAAUUAUUCUUGGAGGUUGCAAGGAGGAACAGGGAGACGGACUGCUCAUCAAACAUCGCCGUGAAAGAUCGGGCCAUCUACGCGCGCGAAUUAGCAUCUCGCUAGUUUGUGCCUCAUCAGGUUCCUUCGUGGUUCCUCAUCCCUAGAGAGAGAAUUUUGUGAUCCUCCCUUUGAGUGCUCUAGUACUAUGCCCCUAGUUUCUUCCUCUCUCUCUCUGUGGCUCUGCAUCCCUCUCUCUGUUUCUCCCCGCCUUUGCUUCACCAGCACUUCAGAAUGAUGUGGUCUUUUGAAAAACUUUUUUUUCGUGAAUAAGCUUGAGAGCGUAUCUUUUCAUUGAUAGGAAGAAAAAGAGAGAAUACAAGGGGGGGGGGGUGAUCAGUGUCUAGUGCGCAGGCAAGACAGGGAGCAGGGGAGCAGUGAUGACGGGCUGCUCAGCCCGGAUGCAUGGCUAAGGACCUAUGCCAGCAGCGCAUUUAAACCGUGAGCUCCAGCCCUAUCCCAGGAACGUGCGUCGUUCUGGAUAAGCUCAAGAAGCCGGGAGGUGGUUGCGCUGCUUCUAGAUAGACCAAGCCGUCAGGGUUGCGAGGGUGGCAAGCCCCUUGCGGUGCCCUGUGGGGGAGCUCAUGAUCAUCGAGGAGCACCAAGGGAGGAACUCUUCGGGACCGGACGGAGGGGGGACGGUGGCGCGCACCCAAGAUAGGACAUCAUGCCAAAUCUGCCUGGAGAAGGGGCAGGCGAUGAUAAUAUGUUGCAUGGUCUCAGCGUCCUGGUCGCAAAGAGCACAUCUGUGGUUGUGGGGGAGACCGUGGCGAGCCAGUCUAUCGGCAGUCCAGCAGCGGUCAAGGUCAGCCAGCCAGGUGAACAUCUUAACUCGUAGGGGGCCCAACACUUCCAGGCGAGGCGCCAAAAUGGGGCGGAUGUGGAGCCGGCAAAGCGGGCUCGAUAGCAUGAUCUGGCGGAGUACUUCCCAUCCGCAGUCCAGCGCCAGACAAGGCGGUCUGGGAGGCAGAAAGGUGAAGGUGACGGAAUCUAGUCCAGAGUUGGACGUACUCCACCAGCGCAGUGGGCGUGAGCGCGCCACGUAGGUCUGCGAUCCAGCAACGGUCCUGGAGCCCAUCUGCCACGGUGCGCUUGUGUCGCCGACGGGGGACCAAGGGGAGGAGGGCAGGGGCGAUGUCCGCAAUGGCCAUGCCAUCAAUCCAUGCUUCAGUCCAGAAACGGCAAGACCUUCCAUCCCGAGAACCCAAGUAGUGGAUGCGCGGAAGAUGGAGGAGGAGUCAGCAUCAGAGGGCAAGUGCAGGUGUGCCCACGGUCUGGCCGGGUCGGUGCGCUGCAGCCACAGCCAGCGCACGCGGAGGGAGAUCCCUUGCCGAUGGAGGUCCGAAAUGCCGAGGCCGCCCAGAUGGAGGGGGCGGCAGACGCGCUGCCAGCUGACUGGCCUGUGGCCAACGCGGGUCUCGUUAUUGCCAUGCCAGAGGAAUUCGCAGAUCGUUCAGUUCACUUGCUUGAGAAUCGUCGGGCAGAGAACGAUGACAACCAUGAUGUGGGAGGGGAUCGCGCACAGCACGUGGCGGACGAGGGCGAGACGCUCGCCGCGGGACAGGAGCAUCGCACGCCAGGAGGAAAGUUUCUUGGCCAGCUUCUCAACAAUCGGCCGGAACGACGAGGCGGACGGCUUUCGGAGCGAGAGGGGAAUACCCAAGUAGGUGAUAGGGAAGUCCAUGACAGUGCAAGCUAGCUCGCACGCGAUGGAAGCUCGCGUGGGGUCGUCGCAGCGGAUCGGGGUUGCCGAACACUUGGCAAAGUUCGUGCAGAGCCCGGAAGCCUCGCCAAAGACACGAAGCAGCUCCCGAAUGACCCGGAGAUCACGGGUUGAGGGGUGGCAAAAUAUGAUCACGUCGUUGGCAUAGAGAGAGAUGCUCGAAGAGGCGUGCUGAGUGGUGAGUCGCUAAAGGAGGCCGCUGCGGUGGGCAUGGAGAAGGAGGGAGUUGAGAGCAUCAAUGGCAAUUGUAAACAGCAUCGGGGACACGGGAUCGCCUUGCCGCAGCCCGCAAGCGUGGGCGAUGGGAGGGCCGGGGGAUCCAUUGAUGAGGACGCGCGUGCUGGACGUGGAGAGCAAGAUGGCAAUCCACUCGAUCCACCGCCGACCGAAGCCCAGGUGGCGGAGCACAUCAAGGAGGAAAGCCCAAGAUACCGUAUCAAAUGCACGUGCAAUGUCGAGCUCGAGAAGGACACGAGGCACGCGGAGGUUAUGAAGCUGGCGGGCGGUCUGCUGGACCAGCAUAAAAUUGCCAUGCACGCACCGCCCUGCGAUGAAUGCACUUUGGUUGGAGGAGACGAGCUGGCCCAGGCGAGGAGUAAGGCGAAGCGAGAGGACUUUGGCGAUGAGCUUCGCGAUCAGGUGGAUUAGGCUGAUGGGGCGGUAGUCCGAGAGAGAGGAGGCGUCCGGCUUCUUCGGGAUCAGCGUGAUAAGGGCUUCAUUGAGGCGCUGGAGGCUGCGCCCGUUCAUGGUGUAGAACUUGUCGAACACCUCGCAGACGUCGGCUUUGACUGUAUCCCAGCACGCCACAAGGAAUUCGGCCGUGAAUCCAUCGGGGCCCGGGGCUUUUCCACGGGGGAGCGCCUUGACCGCAGUCCAGAUUUCUUCCUCAGAGAAAGGCAGCUCAAGCUCCUCGAGAUCAAAGGAGCGGUCGUCGAUCUGUUGCAGGUCAAGGGAGAAAUCAUGGGGUCUUGGAGUGCCAAGGAGCGAGGAGAAGUGGUGGUAUGCCGCCUUGUCCAUAUCUUGCUCAGUGACCGUAGCGCCCUCAUGCUGAAGGGAGAGGAUGCGGUUCUUCUGGUGCCUGUGGGCCGUGUGGAUUUUGAAGAAGGCGGUGUUAGUCUCGCCCUCUUUAAGCCAGCCAAACCGCGCCCACUCACGAGCGAUGGAUCUCUCGAGCGAAGCAAGUCCAAGGUAGGCACGCUUGAGGCUGCGUCGAAGCCAGACCUCAGAGGGGGAAAGAGCCCGAAUGUCCUGGGCAGCGCGGAGGCCGGCAAUAAGCUCCCGCGCAAUCAUAAGUUGCAGGGAGACGUGGCCAUGAGUGCGCGCGCCCCAACUGUGGAGACGGCGAGCCGUGAUCUUGAGGCAGAGGUAAAUGCGCCGGAAAGGGUCCGGGUCGUGGACGGAGCCCCAAGCAGCCGCCACCGUGUCCUGAAAGCCUUCAAGUUUGAUCCAAAACCGCUCAAAGUGGAAGCGUCUCGGGCCAGCAGAGCGCGGAGUGCAGUCGAGGAAAAGCGGGCAGUGGUCGGACACCGUCGUGGCAAGGCAGCGGAGAAUAGCAUGAGGCUGUGUGAGAUCCCACUCGGAGGUGCAAAGAAAGCGGUCGUUACGCACAAGCGUGGGCGAGUCCCUCUCAUUAAACCAGGUGUAGAGGCGGCCGUGCAUGUAGACGUCGCGCAGCUCCAUAUCAGCAAUGAAGCGACGGAAACGGUUGGAAGUACGCCUGUUUAUCCUCCUGUUACUCUUGUUACUGGAUGAGGAAACGAGGUUGAAGUCACCGCCGAGGAGCCAGGGGCCAGCGUAAGAGUCACGGGUAUCUUGCAGGUCCUCGAGGAAAAUUUUAGAAUGAUGUAUUCCUGUAUUGUACAGUACAUCUGAUCUUUUCUGAUAUGGUUUCUUUGCCUGGUCUUUAAUGUGGCCAGAUGAGAAUGCGUCCGUUUUCGUGAUGAUUAUUGCUGCUACACAGCUAUGGUCUUCGAUUCUUUUUUUGCUGCGACCGUUGUGAUGUUCUUUUCUUUUUUACCCAAGAUUUCAUGGUCUGCUCCUUCUGUUCUUACGAUGCAGUGGCCGUGCAUCUUGCAAUUCCACAAAAAUAAAAUGUAUUUGCAAGAAAUGUAAAACUAGUAAAGUAACAAUAAAAGGGUGACUAGAACUUAACAAAAGUAACUUAAAUCACAAAGAUGAUUGAAACUUAACAAAAAAUAUAUACCGAAACUCAACUGGGCACGUAAAAAAAGACUGAAACUUCAAAUGCUUAAAAAUAAGGAGAGUUAGUUAAUAUAGUUAUGCGUCCUUCACCUAUAAGUAAAAGAAGAAGAGAUUGUGCUUCUUUAAAUUCAUCCAUCAACCAUCAUCUGCCGGAUAGUUAACUAGCAUUGAUUUUCACCAAUAUUCAGUUGUUGAAGGCAUUUGUGUUGCAGUUAUGCACCCUCACCCUCACCACUGAAUUGAUAAAUAACCGGCACUAGUGGUGCUACAAAUUUCAUAAGAAUAAGAAAAGUGCUCUACGUUGUUAGUUGUGCAAGCAUGGGGAAGAUAUCCAUGGAAGUUGAUGCAAAGUUGACAUACUGAGACCACAAGAAUACAUGGGAGUGGGAGGUAGUAGGAAACUCAAUUUGUGGUCAACAAGAAUAUUGUCAGAUGCUAUCAGAGAGCUUUGUACCAAUAGCCAACCAACUCGGGCUGCGUAGGAUGCUGGAACAAGCUUUGUAUACCGCUGUCGUGGCAGCCCAAAUACCCUGCCAUGACAGCCAUUUCACCCGCCACGGUAGCCGAGAAGCUAGCGCACAUACAAAUCAUAUUCUCCUGGAUCAGCUAACCCAUCUCCCACACCUCAUCUGCUGAUAGUUAGGAUUAUGUUAAGCCGAUCCAUGAGCUGUUGUAACUUGCAUAAAUUUCCUGAAAUUGAAUAUAUCAAGUUGCCACAUAGACUCUUCUCCCUCGAUUUCUUUCAUGGUAUCAGAUAUUCAUUACUGAUCCACAGCCACGCUUCCGCACCUCUCACUCGCCAUGGCCUCGCGCGCUUAGUUCCUCCCACUCCGGGGAUUUCAAUCCCUUCGUCGUCCUUGAGCCGGCCACCGCCGCCAACCUCUGGCAUGUGCACACUCAGGAUCACGUGCCAAUCACCCUCAAUCUUUACAAGCCCCCCUUCUCCACCUGGCGGACGUACUUCUUGCUGAAGUUCUGCUAAUUCCAGAUCCAUGACCAUGUCGACGGCUCCGUCGGCGCCUGAUGCAUGCCAAUGUGAACUGGAUGGCGGUGGAUGCCACCAUGGGAAAAAUUUCCAUGUAAGCGGGCUAUAAGUACUUGCGGCUCGAGGUACAAUGAAACAUCAUUUAUUUUCAUCAGAACAGUAGGCUCGAGGAAGUUAGCAAGAUCCCAUUAUUUAGGUAAAGACUCCACGAAAGAAACGGUUCUGGUUCAUGAAGUAGGAAUCACUGAGCGGGCCGUGAAGCUUUGCGCCUUUUUGCUGAAGAUGCCGACUCGAAGUAGGAAUCACUAAGCGGACCGUGCAGCUUUGCACGUUUUUGCUGAAGAUAGCGACUUGAUCUCUGGAUCGGUUUGCUUCAUUUUUUGUAGCAAAUGAUCUUUACAAAUAUCAUUAAGCAAGUAGAGAAAAUAUCUCUUAAACAUGUAAUGGAAUCCUAUAAUGUUUAUAAAACAAAAUACUAAUUAUGUUCAGUGAAUUUGAAGUACUCACAAAUGAAAAUUAAAUCACAAGGGAUGAAAAUCUAAUUAAGACGACUAACGUCUGAACCUGUAUUGCAGGCAAUCAAAUCACAUUAUAUGUAUGGUGUAUGUAUUUUCUAGUGCCAAAUGCUUGUUGUAGCACACUUUCGGUGAUCGUCACAACUUUCAUCAUGAUCUCCUAGCGCAUCCAAGCAAAACUUGUUACAAACCUCUCUAUUAAAAAUUGUUGGAAAACUCCAUACUCCGAUAGUCAUUCCAUCAGUCUGGUCUUGCACGGUGGAUCUGGAUCUCUCCAUACAAUGAUCUCUAUUCUUAUUUUUUAUUUCCUUUUUUAGAUUUCAACUUCUCGAUUAGUACUCCAGGUAUGGCUCAUAUCGUAGUCGAGAGACCAUGCGGCUUCAUCCAUCCACAUGUUCUAGCCUAUGUUCAAUGCCAAAUGCCCAUCCGUCAAGUGUGCCCAACCAAGGUCCAUCAAUAGGGAGCAACCCCCAAUCAAAAUCUUCAUAGAUUGCCUAUUUUUAUGAUCCAUCGAUCAAAAAUAGUAGACCAAAUGUUCAUCUAUCUGAAUGCAUACUUUCCUUGCGUUCUUGAUGCGUAGGAGGCACAAUGAAUUUCACAACAUCCAGGAGUCACAAAGAAUCAUGUAUCUAUGAGCGUGAAAUGUAUCUACAAGAGACCACCACACCAGUGCAAUCACGCUGGAUAAAAGUUUGGUCAUUGACUAUCAUCAGGGAAAUGAAUACUAACAAAAUCUGGUAGAGCUUUUCAGACAAAUGUACCACCUUUUAUUUUCUUGCUGAAAAUAAAUAAUUGUGUUCAACCAUUAUGCACUUAAUAAGAGAGAAUUAAAUCAUUAAGCUUAACCUUUUCUUGAAGAAGGAAAGCAUCAUUACUACCAGCCUCAGCAUCAAGGAAUGAUCCUGACAACCACCAAAUAGAUAAAUCAGCACAACACAAAUUAGCCGCAACUAAUAUAUCCAAAGGCUCUACUUUUCUGUCUAUUUUUCAUAACUAAAAACACAACACAACUCAAAGAGGUCUCCCAAUAAUCUUCUCAGUUUUCUUCCUACGUAGGGUCGGUAGCCCUCCUUUAAUUAGGGGCUCGAUUUGCCACCCUAGCUCACGUUCAAGUUGGUUGUGCUAUGUCAAAUUUACAUUUGUCCAUGUCUAUUGUACAUGCCAUCCGACAUGUAGAGAUAGUUAGGCAUUUUUUUGUUUUUUCGAAAAGGAGGGUGACCCCCGGAGUUAACUUCACAUGAGUACGUGACAACCUCCCCUCUUGCACCCUCCACGAGUUGUGAAGCACCCAAAUGUUCAUAGGUGAACCAUCUACAUAUCUCAGAUAAGUAUCCUUAUCUAGGACGAGCAAAUUUGUUUUUCUUUUACAUUUCAGACUUUUAGUUUACCACACCUUGUCAUACCCGUCGAUGGGAGUGUAUUGGGCGUGAUGGACAUGGGCCGAUGGCUGUGGGACAGAGCCGGUGACUUUGCUCCGCUAGCUACAAAUGAAAGCAGUUUUAGCCAAGCGAGACAUCAAACAGAAAGGACUGAACCUGUCUUGUUCCCCUGCCCUGCUCCCGUUCUACUCCGAAUCCUCUGCUUUUUGGUGUCUGCUCUCUACAAGCAGCAAGUAUCCCAAGGUCGCAGCUCUCCACAAGAUGUAUUUAUAUCCUCCACCUUCUGUUCGACGAAGUCGUGGCCUCGGGCUAUGACACACCUCUCUUCAUCCCCAUCAUUGUUUUGGUACCCUCUAACACAUAUAUUUGCCCCUGCCUUUUAAGAUCCAUGUGCACCUCAUGUCCAUAAAAGGAGCCCCUUUCCUUAUUCCCACCCAUUCCACACACAUCCAUACCUUUCAUAAUUAUCGCCUUGCAUACGAGGGAGUUCAACACUUACGGUUCAAUGGUGUUCUUGAUCCUGCGUACCACCAGUGAUGUUAUCAAAUACCUUGAUGAAUUGUUUGUGUAUGUGCUCGAACUCAUAUAGGGAUAGGAGGAAUGGGGAAGUUCACUAUAUCGUCGCCUAUUCCGCCACCACAUACCAUAUAUUCCAUAAAGAGAGCUGAGCUCGACCUCGGCUGGCAAAGUGGAUUGUUGGUCGAAGACCCUUCUGUUUAUUUCGAGCCAGAUGAACUGGAGGCAAGCCGUGAUCACUGAGUUUACCAUUUUCCGCUGCUUGCCUGGCACCGCCGUGGUCACCCGUGGCCACCAUUCAUGGAGCCGGACUUGGGUCAUCGGCGUGAAUCAGUGUAGCCGGAGAGGCAUCAGCAGCGAGAACCGCACCUCCCUCUAGGAAGGACAUCCCAGCAGCAUAUGGUCAUUGUCCUCAGGUAGUUGAUCGCACAACUUACGGCCGUCAGGAUGUUGUAAUCCGUCGAGCGAGGCGAUCCACGGUCCAUUCCACGGACAGUCAAGCGAAAAUUUUCACCACGCACGGUGCAACUUCAGCUCCAAAAACAGAGCCAGAUAUGCCGAUCUUGCAGAGUAUUUUCCAUGCGAAGCAAGCCGUCAAGAGAAAGAGUCAUCCUCCGGUCUCACCAUUCGCAGGGUGCCCAAACUACGAGGUACCCGGCAACCGCCUGGACAGAAAUCGGGCCCCUAAUGCCCCUAUUUCGGACAAACUGCAGAAGAUGGACGGCCAAUUGUUCCACCCCCUUGCCAUCCAUCCAUCGGUGACGCCAGAACAUCAUAAACUCGCGAUCGCCGAGAGAAAACCAGAGUACGGCCUUGAAGGUUAAGGUCCACGGCUCCGUCCCGUCGAAGAAGCAGAGCGUGACCGAGACCGAGAACAAAUAUACAUGCAUGUACACAUCUGAGCUUUCCACAUCAAGGGGCACAAAUUCUAUUUUGCAGGCACGUACCUUUCCUAUCAAUAAUGUCACUCGGGUUCAACUAGCAGAGCGCGUCUGCGUCUGUGUUUAAGAAAAAACCCGGCAAGAUCGUUUCUCAAUAGAAGCAAGUUGAAAGCAACCUCUGGUACAUUCUACUGCCACAAAUCUUGGUCGACAUGCCGAUAUGGCCUGUCCGCAGCCUGCGUGUCAUGACUUUGACCGCCACGCUAGCUCUUGUGUGUGUGAUGGCGACUGUACAUAGCACAUGCCGUCUAACGCGCUAUUCUACAUGUACGUGGCCGGCCCUAGCAAUUCUGAGGCCCUAGUGCAAGUGUGCAACCGAACAAAUCCAUUUGAUAACAAAGAGAAAGAUUAAGGUGGUGAUACACCUAGAAAAAUCAUUAAAUUAGCAUCGUUGGGUCCCUGCCUUCUUUGAGACUUGUGGUAAUCCAUGUGGGGGUGAAAGUAGAGGAAGAAAGAAGAAAAAACGAAGCGUCCAUGUGUUUCUUUAGAGAAAAAGUAUCAACGGCUGGCUCUGUAGUAUAUACACAGAACAUAAGAAUAUAAGAUAUGGGCCCCUCCCCUGGCUGGCCCCUAGGCAGUCGCACUCUUUGCCUAGGCCUAGGGCCGGCUCUGUACGUGCGUGUAGUGUAGAAUAUGCACGAAUUUGGGUAGGCAUGGAAUCCCUUAUGGCCUUAUUGCUGGUGCACAGCACAGACACGCAGUUACGUAUUUUUUUUCGUUGAGGAAAAAUGGUAAGGGCACGCAGUGAUCUGUUUAGAUCAGCAUAGCUUUGAUGUUUCGCCAACGCUUUGUUUUCUCCCGCUAAUUAAUUUGGUCUCCUACUAGUGGAGCAACCGGCAGGUAUACCCACUACAAAUUUCUCUACGUCAGUGCGGUGACAGGUAUGUUUCUUUUUCUUAGCCAGAAAGAAAAUAUCUGAAUUUUUUAAAUUAAUUACCGCAAGAAAAUAUCUGAAUUUUGUCUAUAUAUACUGGGCCGGCGGGCUAGACCGAUAGAGACCGAGUCCAGACCAUAGACCUGAACCACUCGCUAGUUAUAUCGGCAAGAAGUCAGCAAAGCUCGUCGAUUAAUGGCGGUCAAGCUCACGCUCCCAGCGCAAGCACUGCUCUCCCAGGUGGCCAAGCUGGGCUCCCUCCUCGCCCUCCUCCUUCUCGCGCUGCUGCUGCCCGCCUUCCUCAGGGUCGCCUACGGCUACCUCCUCUUCAACGGCAUCGUUCUCGCGCUCGGCAUCCAGGCCUUCGUCGGCAGCACAGCUUCCAUCGCCGACGAGUCCUCGAGUACCGAUCACGCUGUCGCGCCUGUAGGCGUGGCCGCCUCGCCGUUCCAGAGGGCUGGAUCAGUCCGUCCCGACGACCGGACGACGGUUGCGGAUGAUGAUCGUGUGGUGGUUCCUGCUUAUGUAGCGAGUAAUAUAAUCGAGCUGAAGACAAAGACCAAGGAGGUGGUGCUGAAGGUGCUGAAGAAGUGCCCGUCGACGGCGAGCAUCUUCUUCCUCAGCGCGCUGAACGGCAGCCAGGCCGGCGGAGAGGAAAAGGGACGGCAAGAGGAGCAGGAUGAUUUUCAGGUCGACCUGUUGGACGGCGACGUGACGAUGAGUCGGCAGGAGCUUUUCGCCAACACGGAGAGGUUCAUCGGCAAUUUCCGCAAGGAGCUCAGGAUGCAGAGACAGUAGCCCGUUGGAAGCUAGCAUAGAUAUUUUUGCUUACCUUUUUUUUUUCUUAGUUUUAAGUGUCAUGGUAUGUAGGAGUGUGUUUAGUGGGAUGUGUCCCAAUUAGCCCACGUCUGCAACCCAUGUUCAUAGGCUUAGGAUUUUCGGUGUGUUUAGGUUUAUGAACUUGACAUGAUCUUAAUCUUAAGGGCAUCUCCGGCAAUCCGUAAAUUUCCUUCCGCGUCCGCCCAAAGAGGGACCAGUCAACGGACACGGAUAUGGAAGACCGCCAUCCAACACUGUACGCAUAUAUUUCAAACACUUUUCAACAAAUCAGAUGAAAUUCAUUCAAACACAGCGUAUUCCAUAUAAUCCGGUCGAAAUCGUCUACAUUCUGGAUAUAUUUUAAGUAAAAAAAGUAAAACUAUGUGCGGGUACGGGGCGGAGUUCCACUCCCACGACACGGAUACACUACACUAGUGGUCGACCGGCCACGGCGGAUCCCUUUGUCUUCUCCAUGUCCGGCAGCCCGCUCAUCGGAUUGCCGGGAGCCCUAGAGGUAUAUUCUCCCCCCGCAUCUUCCAUAUGUCCGGCUGCGCUGCUCAUGGGAGUGACAAAGAGGGUUCUUCAAAUGGAGAGGAAGGGGUGGCUCCUCUGCUUCCGUGGAGUCUAGACGGGGGCCCAUGAUGGUAUGAGAUAAAGAACCGGACAAAUCACCGACUAUACAAGCCGGCAACGCGCCGGGCGGUGGCCUUCCUUGGACAAAAGUGGUGGUAGCCUCCCGUGUUCUACUUUUCCUCGAUGUUGACGGCGGACGCGGACGCACUGACCACCGACUCAUUGAUCUCCGCGCAGCCGGCUUCUUUCUCUGCCGGCAGGGCGAAGUUAACGGUGUAUGGCGUGGUCGUGCUGUCCUGGAGCAACUCGUCGUUCCUCCGCGAGUUGGCUUGGAGCAGCAAGUUGCUGAACCUUUCACCGGCUUUGAGUGGCAACUUGCUCUGUCGGACUUGGAGGUAGAGCAGCGAGCUGCCUCGCUCGUAUCCAGCAGGCUCGGGGGGCUACCUAGCCGGCUUUUAUGCCGUAGAAACUGCUAUUCCUGCUCGUCGGAUGCCAUCGAAACGGUAGAGAAAAUGGCGAAAGAUGGAGAUGGGAGCGGCGGAGUGGUGCAAUUCUUGCCCGGCGUGUAGCCUCCUUUAAAUAGCGGAUGGGAGGAAGAAGCUUGCCCGAUGUUGUGUUUAAUGCCGCCCGUCCCUGAGCGGACGUGUGAGCGAAGUAGGUUUCUCAGUUUCCACACGGGUUUAAUGGAGGCGUAUGAAUGCGGCGAGGAGGCAUGUUCAGCCGGACGUGGAAGGGACGGCGCCCUCGGCCGGCGCACCGCGAAGGCAGCGAGAGGUCAUGCCCGUCUUGAGCCGUCUUCAAUGUGGAGCGGCACGCUCUACAACGGUAUGAAUGCGGACAACUGGCAUAGGGCGGGAACAUGCGCGGGCGAGGGAAGAGGGGAUUUGGGUGGGCCAGUGUGGUCGGAAGCGGGCUUGAGUGUUGUCCGGACGUCCGCAAAGCCCCCCACAUUUGUCUCUGGUUUACAGCAGAAAAUACGUCUGGAUUGCUCUGCGGACCGAUAUAAACCGUGUUGGAUGGUACAACACAUAUGGACCACAAUCCGGAUGGUUGCGGGCGGUUUGUGGAUCGACGUUAGAGAUGCCCUAACUGUUACUAGUCUCUCAAUUAUGUGCGGCAAUCUCAGAAAAAGGUGAAUGCCGGUGGCAAAACCAACAUGUAACCUGUUUUUUACGGACGUUGCUUCUUCGCACUCUAGAAGCACUAGGCAUGCAGAUGGACGCGUCCAUGAAGCCUGCGAGCGUCCACAUUCAUCAAUUUGCAUUAGCACGGUUACUAUUAAAUUAGCAGUGAUUAACUGCUUCGUUUUUCUUCGCAGACAACCGCGUUCGCUUGCAUCGCUAAGAAGCACCCCGAUGACGUACAAUGGGCAGUCCGGCCUAGGGGUAGUAGAACGUGUAGCCGAGAAGGAUGCCGACGUUGAGAUAUUGAUGUGUAAGUGUGGUUUAAUGAUAAGAGCGACUUGCUCCUUUUGUUCCGUGUACAUGUAUUUGAUUUAUUAAUAGUUUAAUGCACAAAUGCCAA